UUUCUAAAAUGCGGAUGGCUACGUCAUGUCAACUCGCUCCGCACGGCCGCGGCAGAACUAACUGAUGCAGAACAAAGUGCCACGCAAGCGGCAAGAAUGGAGAAUCCGGUCUCGAGUGCACUACGAUUUCGUGGCAACCCCGCCCAGCAGAUGGAGCCCUAGCUCAGGCUUCAUCUUCUCAUGGGAGCGGUUCCGGAGGCCGCGGAAAAAAAGUCGGCCAUCGUCGCCCUCUUGCUUCAUCCUGCACCUACUUCGAGGUCUGCGGAGGAUCCCCUGACACCUCAGUCCCCGCGAUGAGGGAGACUGCAGUUGGAGGAACGCGCAUUUCUCUUCCGCUCCCUAAGUUUGGCCUCUGCAGCAGCCGUCACACGCAGGCGCGGAGGUAGCUGGGAAAAGGCAGCUUGCUCACAACAACCCCCGAACUUUGUGUGUGCCGCCGAGUGCUGCAGGUUUGUUUGGCACGGAUUGGAUUGGCAAUCACUUUCAACUUUUUGGGGGAGCUGUUUCUUUCAGUGAUUAGUUUUAUGAUGAUCUGAAGAUAUUUCCUGGAUGUGGACUGUAAUUUUUCAAAACCACGGUGUGGCAAAAGCACUGUAUAGCAUUUGUUGAAAAAUGUUUGGGAGAUUGACUCUUCCACAGCUGCUUUUUGCUAGCAUCCUCGGAAUUGCUGGAGGGAUGUAUAUUUAUCAACCAGUAUUUGAACAGUACUACCGAGAUCAGAUGGAAUUAAAAGAAAAGUUGAAAUUGGCACAAGAAUCAGAAGAGAAGAAAAGUUAAUACUACAUGGAGUUGAAAUGUAAUUGUUUAAAGUUCUAUUGAAAUUAUACAUUGACUAUAAAUAAUCUAGUAAAAACUUCUCAAGUAUAUUUUAAACACAAAUAAAUCAUAGGUAAUGAUUUUAAAACAA